AGACCUUAGGCAUUUCGGGGAUCCCUGUCAUGGGAUACCACUGCAUACUUGUGACAGAUUGAUAACUGAAAGGUUUAGGGCCU
rnacentral:pre_miRNA from 15 species